rnacentral:rRNA from 1 species
AGUGAACGCUGGCGGUAGGCCUAACACAUGCGAGUCGAACGGCAGCACAGGAGAGCUUGCUCUCUGGGUGGCGAGUGGCGGACGGGUGAGGAAUACAUCGGAAUCUACUUUUUCGUGGGGGACAACGUAGGGAAACUUACGCUAAUACCGCAUACGACCUACGGGGGAAAGCAGGGGAUCUUCGGACCUUGCGCGAUUGAAUGAGCCGAUGUCGGAUUAGCUAGUUGGCGGGGUAAAGGCCCACCAAGGCGACGAUCCGUAGCUGGUCUGAGAGGAUGAUCAGCCACACUGGAACUGAGACACGGUCCAGACUCCUACGGGAGGCAGCAGUGGGGAAUAUUGGACAAUGGGCGCAAGCCUGAUCCAGCCAUACCGCGUGGGUGAAGAAGGCCUUCGGGUUGUAAAGCCCUUUUGUUGGGAAAGAAAUCCAGCUGGUUAAUACCCGGUUGGGAUGACGGUACCCAAAGAAUAAGCACCGGCUAACUUCGUGCCAGCAGCCGCCGCGG